rnacentral:rRNA from 1 species
UAUUUAUUAGAUAACAGACCAAUAUUCCUCGUGUCUAUUGUGGUGACUCAUAGUAACUGAUCGGAUCGCAUGGCCUUGUGCCGCGACUAACCAUUCAAGUUUCUGACCCAUCAGCUUUCGAUGGUAGUGUAUUGGACUACCAUGGCUUUCACGGGUAACGGAGGAUUAGGGUUCGAUUCCGGAGAGGGAGCCUGAGAAACGGCUACCACAUCUAAGGAAGGCAGCAGGCGCGUAAAUUACCCAAUCCUGACUCAGGGAGGUAGUGACAAGAAAUAACGGGUCGGGGCAUUCGCCUCGGGAUUGCAAUGAAUCGAAUUUACACCCCUUAAUGAGGAUCAAUUGGAGGGCAAGUCUGGUGCCAGCAGCCGCGGUAAUUCCAGCUCCAAUAGCGUAUAUUAAAGUUGUUGCAGUUAAAAAGCUCGUAGUUUGAUUUCUGGACGGGCGCCAACACCCGCUUGUUUAGUGUGGAGGCGGCGCCCGCCCAUCCUUCUGUUAACGCCACCGGCAUUCAUUUGCUGGCGGCGGGCUCAGAUAUUUUUACCUUGAGAAAAUUAUAGUGUUUCAGGCAGGCUUGCG